rnacentral:rRNA from 1 species
ACUCCUACGGGAGGCAGCAGUGGGGAAUAUUGCACAAUGGGGAAACCCUGAUGCAGCCAUGCCGCGUGUGUGAAGAAGGCCUUCGGUUGUAAAGCACUUUCAGUAGGAGGAAGGUAGUGUAGUUAACACCUGCACUAUUUGACGUUACCUACAGAAGAAGCACCGGCUAACUCCGUGCCAGCAGCCGCGGUAAUACGGAGGGGUGCGAGCGUUAAUCGGAAUUACUGGGCGUAAAGCGCAUGCAGGCGGCCUGUUAAGUCAGAUGUGAAAGCCCGGGGGCUUAACCUCGGAAUUGCAUUUGAAACUGGCAGGCUAGAGUCUUGUAGAGGGGGUAGAAUUUCAGGUGUAGCGGUGAAAUGCGUAGAGAUCUGAAGGAAUACCAGUGGCGAAGGCGGCCCCCUGGACAAAGACUGACGCUCAGAUGCGAAAGCGUGGGGA